rnacentral:lncRNA from 1 species
CUUUUUUUUUUUUUUUUUUUUUUUUUUUUUUUACAUGCCCUGGACUCAAGUAAGAUAUCCAAUUGCUAUUUCUCUUCUGAGGUUAAAACAGAAAGAAUUUUCUAUAAGGCUUCAUCAAAACAGAAGGUCCCUUCUUUUAUGAUGCUGCCCUUUCUUGAUUCCAGAGAAAGGUUGUGUGGCAGUAUUAUUACUGAACUUGACUGUGGUUUACAGUUGCUAUAAAUAGCCCUCCUUUUAUUUUUCCAAGGAGGGGGUGGAGGAGACCAGCAACACUGCAAUUGUAUUUAUGCCACCAAUCUGCUCUUUUUAGCUAAAUACACAGUAGAAACAACGCGGAGAGCUGAAACGAUCAUCAAAAGGCUCUUAAGUUCUAACACAAACCUCCAAUUUUUUUCACUCAUAAAGUGGAGCUUAAGAUGAUGUUAGUGCUUGAAAAUACAAGUAGACUAGAAGCUAUCAGAAAGACUAUGUUUCCCAUGCCUAGGGAGUAUAAGAGCAAGGAAGAAUCAGAAUGCCAUAGGAUCCAGUGCCAUGUAUUUUGUGGUUACUAGGUUAAAGUUAUGACAGAUACUUGGUUUUUUGCCUCUGCAGCCAUUCCUCCCUCUUUGGUAAACACUACUCCGAUUUUGAUGGGGAACCAUUUCCCCCACCAUUGAUUUUGUUUCCAUUUAGUUUUGGUAGACUUGACCCGACGCCCAGCUCCAGGUAUAGACAAGUGCAACACAUCUGUUGACCAAAAUUCAGGAAUGGUCCAAUAGACCUGUGUACUUUUGCUAGAGCAACUAGCAAAAAUGCUCUAGAGCAACUAGGGAAAUUCUCUUUACCACUGGCCUGGAAACUGGUAAGAUGGUAACCCUGCAGCCGUGAGAACUGAUUUCAUAAGAAAAGCCUUCAGAGAUCAGGGAAAUACAAAUCAAAACCACAGAGAGAUAACACCUCAGAAUGGCUAAAAUUAACUCAAGAAACAGCAGGUGUUGGUGAGGAUGUGGAAAAAGAAGAACCCUCUAAACUGUUGGUGGGAUUGCAAACUGGUCCAGCCACUCUGGAAAACAGUAUGGAGUUCCUCCAAAAGUUAAAAAUAGAGCUACCCUAUGACUUGGCAAUUGCACUACUAGGUAUUUAUCUAAAGGAUACAAACAGUGAUUCAAAGGGGCACAUGCACCCCUGCGUUUAUAGCACCAAUGUCCAUAUAGCCAAAAUAUGCAAAGAGCCCAGAUGUUCAUCGACAGAUGAAUGGAUAAAGAUGUGGUUGGUGUAUAUAUAUAUAUAUAUAUAUAAAUAUAUAUAUAUAUAUGGAAACAAUAUAUAUAUCGUUGUAUUGAUAUAUAUAUCUGUAUAUAUAUAAUUGCUCACUGAAUUGUAAUAAACAAUAUAUCUAUAUCUAUAUAUCUAUAUCUAUAUAUAUAGAUAUAUAUAUCUGGAAACGAUACAAUGUCUCCACAGGAGAAUGGAUAAAUAAAUUGUAGAAUAGUCAUACUAUGGAAUACUACUCUGCAAGAAACAAAAUAAACUACUGACAAGUAUAGCAACAUGGAUAAAUCUUUAAAAAGUACUGAAUGAAAGAAACCGACUCAAAAAAAAAAAAAAAGAACAGUAUUAUGACUCCUUCUAGAUGAAGAUCAAGAACAGGCAAACUAAAUCUAUGAUGAGAAAAAUUAGAACACUAGUUGCCUCUGAGGAGAGGGAUUAUCUGGAGGGGGUACAAGGUACUGUCCAGAUUAAUGGAAUAUACUAUAUCUUUAAUGUAGUGUUGGUUAUAUAGGCAAAGACAUUUGCCAAAACUGCCCAAAUUACUCUUAGGAUCUAUACAUUUUAAUAUAAGUCUAUUUCACCUUUAAAAUAAAUUUAAAAGAGGGACACCCAGGUGGCUCAGCAGUUGAGUGUCUGCCUUAGGCUCAGGGUGCGAUCCCAGGUCCAGGAUAGAGUCCCACAUCAGGCUCCUUGUGUGAGGACUGCUUCUCCCUCUGCCUAUAUAUCUGCUUCCGUGUGUGUGUGUGUGUGUGUGUGUGUGUGUGUGUGUGUCUUGUGAAUGAAUAAAUAAUCAUUUUAAAAAUUAUAAAAAAUUUUUAAAGAGAAAACGCAGAGAAAGAGGAGCAACCAAUCAGACCCCACAAUCCUUAUGGAAACC